rnacentral:ncRNA from 1 species
AAUCAAGAGUUCCAACCUUCGGCCCUGGCCGGUUGGACGGCAACCCUCGUAGCUGUAGCGGGGUGCCCCAGGUGAAGAUUCGACGCCGGCCCAAACGGGAGGCGUAAGUAUGGCGC